CCGAUAGUGAACCAGUACCGUGAGGGAAAGGCGAAAAGAACCCCGGCGAGGGGAGUGAAAAAGAACCUGAAACCGUGUACGUACAAGCAGUGGGAGCACAGAGCAAUCUGUGUGACUGCGUACCUUUUGUAUAAUGGGUCAGCGACUUAUAUUCUGUAGCAAGGUUAACCGAAUAGGGGAGCCGAAGGGAAACCGAGUCUUAACUGGGCGUUAAGUUGCAGGGUAUAGACCCGAAACCCGGUGAUCUAGCCAUGGGCAGGUUGAAGGUUGGGUAACACUAACUGGAGGACCGAACCGACUAAUGUUGAAAAAUUAGCGGAUGACUUGUGGCUGGGGGUGAAAGGCCAAUCAAACCGGGAGAUAGCUGGUUCUCCCCGAAAGCUAUUUAGGUAGCGCCUCGUGAAUUCAUCUCCGGGGGUAGAGCACUGUUUCGGCAAGGGGGUCAUCCCGACUUACCAACCCGAUGCAAACUGCGAAUACCGGAGAAUGUUAUCACGGGAGACACACGGCGGGUGCUAACGUCCGUCGUGAAGAGGGAAACAACCCAGACCGCCAGCUAAGGUCCCAAAGUCAUGGUUAAGUGGGAAACGAUGUGGGAAGGCCCAGACAGCCAGGAUGUUGGCUUAGAAGCAGCCAUCAUUUAAAGAAAGCGUAAUAGCUCACUGGUCGAGUCGGCCUGCGCGGAAGAUGUAACGGGGCUAAACCAUGCACCGAAGCUGCGGCAGCGACACUGUGUGUUGUUGGGUAGGGGAGCGUUCUGUAAGCCUGUGAAGGUGUGCUGUGAGGCAUGCUGGAGGUAUCAGAAGUGCGAAUGCUGACAUAAGUAACGAUAAAGCGGGUGAAAAGCCCGCUCGCCGGAAGACCAAGGGUUCCUGUCCAACGUUAAUCGGGGCAGGGUGAGUCGACCCCUAAGGCGAGGCCGAAAGGCGUAGUCGAUGGGAAACAGGUUAAUAUUCCUGUACUUGGUGUUACUGCGAAGGGGGGACGGAGAAGGCUAUGUUGGCCGGGCGACGGUUGUCCCGGUUUAAGCGUGUAGGCUGGUUUUCCAGGCAAAUCCGGAAAAUCAAGGCUGAGGCGUGAUGACGAGGCACUACGGUGCUGAAGCAACAAAUGCCCUGCUUCCAGGAAAAGCCUCUAAGCAUCAGGUAACAUCAAAUCGUACCCCAAACCGACACAGGUGGUCAGGUAGAGAAUACCAAGGCGCUUGAGAGAACUCGGGUGAAGGAACUAGGCAAAAUGGUGCCGUAACUUCGGGAGAAGGCACGCUGAUAUGUAGGUGAAGUCCCUCGCGGAUGGAGCUGAAAUCAGUCGAAGAUACCAGCUGGCUGCAACUGUUUAUUAAAAACACAGCACUGUGCAAACACGAAAGUGGACGUAUACGGUGUGACGCCUGCCCGGUGCCGGAAGGUUAAUUGAUGGGGUCAGCGCAAGCGAAGCUCUUGAUCGAAGCCCCGGUAAACGGCGGCCGUAACUAUAACGGUCCUAAGGUAGCGAAAUUCCUUGUCGGGUAAGUUCCGACCUGCACGAAUGGCGUAAUGAUGGCCAGGCUGUCUCCACCCGAGACUCAGUGAAAUUGAACUCGCUGUGAAGAUGCAGUGUACCCGCGGCAAGACGGAAAGACCCCGUGAACCUUUACUAUAGCUUGACACUGAACAUUGAGCCUUGAUGUGUAGGAUAGGUGGGAGGCUUUGAAGUGUGGACGCCAGUCUGCAUGGAGCCGACCUUGAAAUACCACCCUUUAAUGUUUGAUGUUCUAACGUGGACCCGUGAUCCGGGUUGCGGACAGUGUCUGGUGGGUAGUUUGACUGGGGCGGUCUCCUCCUAAAGAGUAACGGAGGAGCACGAAGGUUGGCUAAUCCUGGUCGGACAUCAGGAGGUUAGUGCAAUGGCAUAAGCCAGCUUGACUGCGAGCGUGACGGCGCGAGCAGGUGCGAAAGCAGGUCAUAGUGAUCCGGUGGUUCUGAAUGGAAGGGCCAUCGCUCAACGGAUAAAAGGUACUCCGGGGAUAACAGGCUGAUACCGCCCAAGAGUUCAUAUCGACGGCGGUGUUUGGCACCUCGAUGUCGGCUCAUCACAUCCUGGGGCUGAAGUAGGUCCCAAGGGUAUGGCUGUUCGCCAUUUAAAGUGGUACGCGAGCUGGGUUUAGAACGUCGUGAGACAGUUCGGUCCCUAUCUGCCGUGGGCGCUGGAGAACUGAGGGGGGCUGCUCCUAGUACGAGAGGACCGGAGUGGACGCAUCACUGGUGUUCGGGUUGUCAUGCCAAUGGCACUGCCCGGUAGCUAAAUGCGGAAGAGAUAAGUGCUGAAAGCAUCUAAGCACGAAACUUGCCCCGAGAUGAGUUCUCCCUGACCCUUUAAGGGUCCUGAAGGAACGUUGAAGACGACGACGUUGAUAGGCCGGGUGUGUAAGCGCAGCGAUGCGUUGAGCUAACCGGUACUAAUGAACCGUGAGGCUUAACCUUACAACGCCGAAGGUGUUU
rnacentral:rRNA from 1 species